CAAAAAUCCGCCACCACUGGUUGCCCGGCGGGGUCGGUGGAAAGUGUGAUGUAUCAUAGAUAAAAUGCAGAUCUGAGAGACACAGAUGAAAGCGUAGGAGAGUAGGAUGAAUGUGGACACUGGCGAUGAGAGAGAA
ensembl:ncRNA K12F2.3 ncRNA